GACGAACGCUGGCGGCGUGCUUAACACAUGCAAGUCGAACGAAGUGGCGAACGGGUGAGUAACGCGUAAUCAACCUGCAAUUCAGUGGGGGCCAAAAGGUGGAGAGGACUGCUAAUACCGCAUACUGAAGGUGGUGAGUGCGUCAGAUUAGGUAGUUGGAGGGGUAACGGCACACCAAGGCGGUACUCAGUAGCAGGGCGUAGAGGAAGAACGGCCACAGUGAGAAUGAGACACAGCCCAGACGCCUACGGGAGGCAGCAGUGGGGAAUCUUCCGCAAUGGACGAAAGUCUGACGGAGCAACGCCGCGUGAGUGAUGACGGCCUUCGGGUUGGAAAGCCCUGUUAAGCGGGACGCGGUACCGGAAUAGAAAGCCACGGCUAACUACGUGCCAGCAGCCGCGGUAAUAC
rnacentral:rRNA from 1 species